rnacentral:rRNA from 1 species
UCGAGCGAACAGACGAGGAGCUUGCUCCUCUAACGUUAGCGGCGGACGGGUGAGUAACACGUGGAUAACCUACCUAUAAGACUGGGAUAACUUCGGGAAACCGGAGCUAAUACCGGAUAAUAUAUUGAACCGCAUGGUUCAAUAGUGAAAGACGGUUUUGCUGUCACUUAUAGAUGGAUCCGCGCCGCAUUAGCUAGUUGGUAAGGUAACGGCUUACCAAGGCAACGAUGCGUAGCCGACCUGAGAGGGUGAUCGGCCACACUGGAACUGAGACACGGUCCAGACUCCUACGGGAGGCAGCAGUAGGGAAUCUUCCGCAAUGGGCGAAAGCCUGACGGAGCAACGCCGCGUGAGUGAUGAAGGUCUUCGGAUCGUAAAACUCUGUUAUUAGGGAAGAACAAAUGUGUAAGUAACUAUGCACAUCUUGACGGUACCUAAUCAGAAAGCCACGGCUAACUACGUGCCAGCAGCCGCGGUAAUACGUAGGUGGCAAGCGUUAUCCGGAAUUAUUGGGCGUAAAGCGCGCGUAGGCGGUUCUUUAAGUCUGAUGUGAAAGCCCACGGCUCAACCGUGGAGGGUCAUUGGAAACUGGAAAACUUGAGUGCAGAAGAGGAAAGUGGAAUUCCAUGUGUAGCGGUGAAAUGCGCAGAGAUAUGGAGGAACACCAGUGGUGAAGGCGACUUUCUGGUCUGUAACUGACGCUGAUGUGCGAAAGCGUGGGGAUCAAACAGGAUUAGAUACCCUGGUAGUCCACGCCGUAAACGAUGAGUGCUAAGUGUUAGGGGGUUUCCGCCCCUUAGUGCUGCAGCUAACGCAUUAAGCACUCCGCCUGGGGAGUACGACCGCAAGGUUGAAACUCAAAGGAAUUGACGGGGACCCGCACAAGCGGU